CUGACAUUCAUCAAAUUCCAACCCAUCAGAAUGCCAAAAUGCCAAACAGAGAAGUGUGAGUCCAGUGGUGGUGUUCUGUACACCACUCGAUCAGACGCUUGGCAUUGUACUUGAUGAUGUGAGGCUUGCAUGCAGCUGCUCAGCCAUGAAAACCCAUUGUGCUGAUAUUAAUGACAGUGGAAGUUUGGCGCUCUUUGGCUAUGGAAUCA